rnacentral:rRNA from 1 species
AGUGAACGCUGGCGGUAGGCCUAACACAUGCAAGUCGACGGCAGCACAGUAAGAGCUUGCUCUUACGGGUGGCGAGUGGCGGACGGGUGAGGAAUACAUCGGAAUCUACUUUUUCGUGGGGGAUAAUGUAGGGAAACUUACUCUAAUACCGCAUACGACCUACGGGUGAAAGCAGGGGAUCUUCGGACCUUGCGCGAUUGAAUGAGCCGAUGUCGGAUUAGCUAGUUGGCGGGGUAAAGGCCCACCAAGGCGACGAUCCGUAGCUGGUCUGAGAGGAUGAUCAGCAACACUGGAACUGAGAAACGGUCCAGACUCCUACGGGAGGCGGCAGUGGGGAAUAUUGGACAAUGGGCGAAAGCCUGAUCCAGCCAUACCGCGUGGGUGAAGAAGGCCUUCGGGUUGUAAAGCCCUUUUGUUGGGAAAGAAAAGCAGCAGGUUAAUACCCCGCUGUUCUGACGGUACCCAAAGAAUAAGCACCGGCUAACUUCGU